AAGAACAAGAAAGAAGAAAAACAAAAAAGAAAAAUGAAGAGAAAUACACGUGGAAAAAAGAGAAUAAAAUUUGGUCGAUAUAGUCGAUGCAGACAACGUCAGGAGGAUGAGCAAUUAGUGUCUUCGUAGAUUUAACGUUGAAGCGAGACGUCACGUCCUCGGAAAGCUCUGAGUAAGGAUCGAUGAGGAAGAGAAGAAGUGGCUGUAACAGUUGUAGAGAAAGGGGAAAAGAGAGGGGGAGGAGGGAGGUGUACGACUCGAAGGGGCACAAUUAGCGAGUUAACGCUUAGCUGUGCAAGAAGUGCCGCGAAGGCCUUGGAAUAAGUUACGAACCGUGACAGACGUUAAGGUUUUCUCUAGGGGCUCGUAAAGCGUGUCUUGAGAAUGUGAGAGAAGGGAAAACGACCUUCUUCCUCUCCUUCUGUAUUCUCGAAAAUGGAUGAAUGAUUGUGACGUUUCUCCUUCUAUUAACGUAAACCUAAUGCUAGUUUGUUUGUUCUCCAAUUAUUUUGGGUAAUAGAAUAUAAAAUCGAAUUUCGAGACGAAAUAAAAAAGAAACUAUCAUCAAAUUAAAUUCAUUCGAUGAGAAAUUUAUUGAAAAAUUGAUAAAAAAAAAUGAUUACGUUUUCUUUUAUACUUCGUUAUUUUCUCUCCCUCUUUUUUUUUUUUUUUUUUUUUUUUUUUUUGAUGAACGAACUUAUCCUUGAACACGAUAUUUCGAAGAUACUAAUUACUGAACUUACGCAAAGAUAUAGAUCUUCUACGUUUGUUAUAAUAAAAACUGUUUAACUAUACCACAUGAAGCAAAAAUGUUGAGUUAUGUUCGUACAGUACAACAAAAACUGGACUCGUAUAUACCUAACACGGAUAUACAAAUAUGUCCUAUCUAACUCGACUACUUUAAAUAUCUCCAUUGUUUUUCAUACGGCUCUAUACCUACUUGUGUAUUUCGUACUUGUCGACUAAAGUCAACAAUCAUAUAAAAAAAAAAGAGAAUAAACUCAAGUGUUUCAAACAAAUUAAGGACAUAGAAAAAAGAAAAGAAAAGAAAGAAAGAGGAAAGAAAAGUAAAAGAAGAAAAAAAAAGAAAAAUAUUUCAUCGACGCACAUAAUCUCGCUGUCGUAACUUUUUAAUAAUUUUUGUUAAAAUGAAAAAAAAACUGCUUUUUUAUAUUCCCAUAAUCCACAUUUGUUUAAUCUAAUUACAAGUGACUUGUAUAAUACUUGUUUCAUAAUAUCCUCUGUAUAUUAUACGGAGUUACAUAAUUAUAAUAUAAAAUAAUUUAUAUUAUAAUUCGUUAUUUAAGUGAAUUGAUCUAUGAUUAACGAAAGUGAAAAAGAGAAAGGAUAAAAUAGCAAUGAACUAAUUUUAUGAACGAUUGAAGAUAUUAUCUUAGGAUUUCUAACGCACGGAGAAGAUCUACUACCUUUGAUUCAAUCUUUUUUCCUACCUUUGAGGAGCUAUAAGAUCAUCGAUAACUUAAACGAAGUAUUCGUAAGAAGGAACGUUACGUUGAGUCUUUUUCGCGGUUGUCCAGAUUUACGACGCACUUUCAGUGACCGACAUUCUCUCCGCGAAAGAACGUAAUCCUACCGAAUGGACCUCUCAGGAAGGACGCGGAAGCAAAGAGAAAGAAAGGAAGACCUAUGUAUUACAUAACCAUCCCACAAUCGCGGACGUGAAGGAGAUCGCAACCGCACACACUCUAUCUCUUUUCCUCUCUCACUCGAAUGCAAGGAAUUGCAAGGAGUGCAGCCGGCCUUUAGAUCCUUCUUAAUGCUCCCCAACCUUCGAGAAAAAUCCGAAGACGAAGUCCUCGAACGCGUCGCGAGUGCCGAAACCAUCUGAAAAACUUUCCUCAGGAGGUGCUUUCAACGCUACGAAGCUCUUUUAUAAACAAUGAAUGAUCUAUAAGAAAGAUCUAAAGAAAAAGAGAAUGAAAGAAAAAGAAAGAAAGAGAGAGAGAGAGAGAGAGAGAGGCAGAAGUGUAAGAGAAAAAAAAACGAUGGAAGUGUCUUUAAACUUUGGCAAAUCGGAUUUUACUAUUCGUUCAAUUAUUUCAGUAUUAUCUCAAUUUAUCUUUUUCUCUAUUUAAAAAUCUAACAUUGUUUCAACCAAUAUUAUAUUAUAAUCGAAUGUAAACAAAAUUCUUAAAAGGAAAAAGAAAAAAAAAAUAUCUUUCACAUUAUUUCCGGUUCUUGUUAAUAUAAACAUCCUAGAUUAAACGAAAAUCUUAUAACUAUUUACGUAACUGAAUGUAAUGAAGAUCAUCCGUGCAAUAAAUAAAAUUUUUCGUUAAACAUAAAAAGGAAAGAAAAAAAA